rnacentral:piRNA from 1 species
UGAGGUCUUGAGUUCCUUG